AUAAACUACAGUUUAUUUUAUAAUGUAAUUGAAUCUGGUGAAACUAUAUUUCUUAUUUACUAUUUUCUUCAUAUUGUACAUGUCCCAGUAGUAAUUUUCCACCCUGUUAUAAUGUGUUUAACUGCCUUAAAAAAAA